UACGUAGGGGGCAAGCGUUAUCCGGAUUUACUGGGUGUAAAGGGAGCGCAGGCGGUCUGUUAAGUCAGCGGUCAAAGCCCGGGGCUCAACCCCGGCCCGCCGUUGAAACUGGCAGUCUCGAGUUGGAGAGAAGUAUGCGGAAUGCGCGGUGUAGCGGUGAAAUGCAUAGAUAUCGCGCAGAACUCCGAUUGCGAAGGCAGCCUGCCAAGCCAUGACUGACGCUGAUGCACGAAAGCGUGGGGAUCGAACAGG
rnacentral:rRNA from 1 species